rnacentral:rRNA from 1 species
AGAGUUUGAUCCUGGCUCAGAUUGAACGCUGGCGGAAUGCUUUACACAUGCAAGUCGAACGGCAGCACGGGGGCAACCCUGGUGGCGAGUGGCGAACGGGUGAGUAAUACAUCGGAACGUGCCCAGUCGUGGGGGAUAACGUAGCGAAAGUUACGCUAAUACCGCAUACGAUCUCUGGAUGAAAGCGGGGGACCGCAAGGCCUCGCGCGAUUGGAGCGGCCGAUGUCAGAUUAGGUAGUUGGUGGGGUAAAGGCCUACCAAGCCGACGAUCUGUAGCUGGUCUGAGAGGACGACCAGCCACACUGGGACUGAGACACGGCCCAGACUCCUACGGGAGGCAGCAGUGGGGAAUUUUGGACAAUGGGCGCAAGCCUGAUCCAGCCAUUCCGCGUGCAGGAUGAAGGCCCUCGGGUUGUAAACUGCUUUUGUACGGAACGAAAAGGCCUUGGCUAAUACCCGGGGCUCAUGACGGUACCGUAAGAAUAAGCACCGGCUAACUACGUGCCAGCAGCCGCGGUAAUACGUAGGGUGCAAGCGUUAAUCGGAAUUACUGGGCGUAAAGCGUGCGCAGGCGGUCUUGUAAGACAGAGGUGAAAUCCCCGGGCUCAACCUGGGAACUGCCUUUGUGACUGCAAGGCUGGAGUGCGGCAGAGGGGGAUGGAAUUCCGCGUGUAGCAGUGAAAUGCGUAGAUAUGCGGAGGAACACCGAUGGCGAAGGCAAUCCCCUGGGCCUGCACUGACGCUCAUGCACGAAAGCGUGGGGAGCAAACAGGAUUAGAUACCCUGGUAGUCCACGCCCUAAACGAUGUCAACUGGUUGUUGGGUCUUCACUGACUCAGUAACGAAGCUAACGCGUGAAGUU